UGGAGCUGGCAAUAAUAGCUUUUAGGAGACCGCGAGGGUACCCUCCGCGCAUGUGGAGGUCUUAAUACUUGCGGUAAAUCCCAAGAGACGCCACUCUA
rnacentral:sRNA from 1 species